rnacentral:lncRNA from 1 species
GGUGUUUGGUGGUGCAAUUUAAAUGGCUUGUCUGGUUACCAUUUGUGUUUGGACUGCGAGGUGGCAGGGUGGAUUUGCCCUGGCUGAUUAGUUCAUACAGCCAUGAACUUUGUCGUGAUUCCUCGGGCCAGUUAAUCUCCUCAUCCCAUAAUGAUCCUAUAUUCACUAGAGGUGUCCUUUUUUUUUGUGUGUGGGGGCAUAGGGAAUGAUCAGUUUGACUAAAAGAAAAGCUAACGAACGACACACCUGUACACUAGAGGUGGUUGAUGGCAUAGCUU